AUAAUAAGAGAAGGAGAGAGAUCCUAUAGCUUUUGCACUACUUCAUCCCCUCUCCGUCUAUCCUUCAGUGGUUUCUACACUCAGAGAGAGGUAAUAAUAAUAAUAAUACACGUAGUGUGGCUAGAGUGUGACAAUAUAUUUCAAAUUAACUUGGAGUAAUUUGAUUAUAAGUAAUUUAAUUCGUACUCGUUUGAAAAAGACACACUUUUUUCCCUUAGUGCAAAUAUAAUAGGUUUUGCUAAGAGGCGUUAUGUUUUGAAAACUAGAAACAUUAUUUUUUGAUUGAUUUUAAUUUUAAAUCCAUUGCGAUAAAUAGGAAUUGAAAUUUGUUUUGAAUAUUCAUGAAAAAUUUAAAUUUGGAAAAAUCCGUAUGGUUGUGAGGAUAAAAAGAGGGUUGAAAGAGUGUCUAACUUUCGCGAGGGGGUAUUUACUAUAGGCUUAAAAUAUAAUUGCAAAAUUUAUGUUCCUAUGUAUUAUUAAGUAUUUCAAGGAAUUAAAACAUUUUUGCAGGAAAUUAUAGAUAUUCGAUGCUGAAAGAUUAUAUAAUGUGUGUUUUGUUGUGAUAGCCAAUUAUUUUCUAUCGCAGCUAAUAAAAUUUAGUUCUCAGAGCAUUAUUUUUUUGUUAGACAAAAUUUUGCUCAAUUAAUAAUUAUAUUGAAUUACCAAUAAAAUAUAUUAGACAAGCAGUUAUAGACUCCAAACUAAAUUGAUGAUCUACAUAGGCCAAGAUAUAAUUUUUCAACUCAUCUCAAUUAUUAUUUUUGAAAAUGAUUUUGAACAUAUUAAUUAUUAAUUAUGUUUUACUAUUUUGAAGUGACUAUUUUUCCUUGUAGUUAUUGUGAGAAUAUAUACAUAAUUUGGAUUAAUUAAGAAGAAUUGAAUUGCUAGAAGUAUUCAUAUGUAUAUUGAGAGCUAUGGUGAAAGCAUUGAUGAUAACAAGAAGAGUAUUAUGACAGGAAUCUCGACCUUGACCUAAACAGGGAAUUAGGGAAAUCGGGGAGCUACGCUAGUUGACGGUCUCUUCCCAGGCAACCAGGCUGCAGGCUAGGCGUAUUACCCUGGCCAAAAUUGACGCAUGCGUCACAGGGAUGGAAGCAUAGUCCUGUUUACAGGAUAAAGGACCCUGCCAGUCGCGUUUCAUUUUUGCACCGCGUUCCUUUUUUUCGUGUAAUAUGCGUUUCUAGUUGUGUGUGUAUGUGUGUGAGUGUGCGUGUGUGUGACCGGCGAACUAGGCACGUUUCAAAAGAUCAGAAAUUGCUGUAAUUAAAAACGUAUGGUAUUUAUAAAAACAAAACAAUUGUCGUAAUCAAGAAAUAACGUGAAUGGGCGCUCGAACGAUGUUUUCCAAAUUUAAAAGUAGUGGCGCUGCACCAAAUAUUUUGGAAUCAAAUCCAAUAUUGAACCAUUUUGAAAUAGGAAAACAAUCUGCAACUGCUGGACCAGAAAAUGUUUGGAAAAUCCUUGAAGGAUAUCGAAAAAGUGAUGGCAAGGAAGUUUCAAUAUUUCUAUUUGAAAAGCGUUCAGUUGAAAAAAUAACAAAACCAAAACGAAAAGAGACUAUUACGGAAACUUUACGAGCGGGAGUUCAAAACUUGGAACGAUUUAGACAUCCAAAAAUUUUGCAAGUUAUACACUCAGCGGAACAGUGCCAAGAAACAUUAGCAUUUGCUUCUGAACCUGUUCUCGCAAGUUUAGCCAAUGUUUUAGCUUACGAGGAACAAAAAGCAUUAUCUAUAGCACAAUCGUCCACGACUGUAGGGCAGCAAACUCAGCAACAACAACAACACAAUCGUCAAAUGUACAUGAAGGAAUAUGAAUUGUUGGACAUGGAAAUAAAAUACGGCCUCCUACAGAUAACAGAAGCAUUAUCGUUUCUUCAUUAUAGUCGCCAAAUACUUCAUAGAAACGUUUGUCCAAGUAGUAUAAUGAUUACAAAAAAAGGAACUUGGAAAUUGUUUGGAUUUGAAUUUAUAGAGAGUGGAUUAAACGAUAAAGAUGCUGCAGAGCCUAUCCCACUUCCACAAUGGACCAACAGAAUUUCAAAAAUGGCUCAACCAAACUUGGAUUACUUGGCGCCAGAAGUGCAGCUGUCUAAAAGAGGAAGUAUUCUCAGUGAUAUGUAUAGUUUUGGAAUGGUCAUUUGCGCGAUAUUUAAUUACGGUCGUCCUUUAAUACAAGCGAAUCAUAAUUGUUCGGAAUAUAGUAGACAACUGGAUACAUUAGAAGAGCAAGUGCAUAAUAUUUUGCCUCGAGUACCUGUGCCGUUACAAGAAGCUGUUUCCAGGCUUUUGCAAAAAGAAUCUAGGCAACGACCUACGGCUCAACUUCUCACCCUUAUUAAAUAUUUUAGUGACCCAUCUGUAUAUGCCUUGCAAUUUUUGGAUGUAAUUAAUAUGAAAGACCCAACACAAAAAGCUCAUUUCUACAGAACAACUCUUAAAGAAGCGCUUCCUUAUAUACCUCGAAAACUUUGGUACCAACAUAUUUGGCCUUAUUUGCAAGAAGAGUCUAGAUCACAGGAAGUCUUUGCGGCUGUUUUGCAACCUAUGCUUUAUAUUAUUCAAAAUAGUACUUCAGAAGAGUAUGAGAAAAUUAUCUUGCCCACUUUCAGAUCACUGUUCUCCAUACCAAAAUCAACUCAAGGUUCUGUUGUACUUUUGGAGAAUUUACAUAUUAUUUUAGAAAAAACACCAUUAGAUGUAAUAAGAGACGAAGUAUUGCCCAUGCUUUUCGCUUCCUUUGACAGUCCAACAAUCCAAGUUGAGAGCGCAGCUUUCGUCGCAAUCGCAAAUGUGACACAUUUUCUGGAUGAUAUGGUGAUAAGGAGAACUGUUUUACCCAAAAUAAAAAUGGCUUUUGAAAAAAAUUCAACUGAUAUGAGAAUAUUAAUGAAAGCUCUGGCAAGUAUUCUCGACCGCCUAGAAAAACAACAAAUUAUUGAUGAUGUGAUGCCACUUUUGUGGAAUGUGAAGCUUCAAGAACCGGAAAUAGUUGUACGAGUAGUAAGCAUCUACAGAUUAAUGUUAAGUGACAAAAAAUACGGCCUAUCAGUUAACCUCAUGGCAACACGGGUAAUGCCAUCAUUGCUGCCUCAAACAGUAAACCCGGCACUCAAAUUAGAAAAUUUCAAUCUACUGUUGGAUGUUUUACAAGAAAUGCUCAAUCAAAUAGAAAGGAACCAAAGGAAUAAAUUACAAUUGGAUGCAGAUAUGCGCCGACCACUUAGGCAUCAAUGCAGUACAGAUAACAUGCAUGUUCCACCUUUCAACAUUCCUAACCUUCGUAUAGAGCAAAGAAAAACAUCUUCAGCCGAAGACAUGGCGAGAAAAAAUUCCAUUGGUUCAAUGUCAAUGACUGCAUCAGCUGAAAAUAUGACGAGAAAAAAUUCAAUGGCUGGAAUGUUUGGAAGUUGGUGGUUCGGUUCAUCAUCGUCUACAAAUGACAACAAUUUUCUCAGAGUAGCCAAUACUUUUACAUGCCGACGUCUUUCUGACAACACAUUAAUGACUCCAAAGAUUCGUAUAGCUCCAUCUUGCGCGAGUUCUCCAGGUGGUACACCAGGAGGUGGUUUACCAAUACGACGACAUUCUAGCACCGGUCCCCAAGAACGAAGAGGUUCAAACAUAAAUCUCUCUCCGCCUACGGGGGGAAUGCCUAUUACAAGUAGCAGUGUUCCAUACCUUCUAAGCUCAAGUAUGAACAGUAUUCGAGGUUCAAGGCGACCCUCCGUCUCAUCAAAUACAUCGCAACAGGGAAUACUUCAGCAAUCUAUUAGCGGCAUGGUAAGACAACUACCCCCCAUCUGCCUCAAUGGACCACCAACACUCUCUCCAUCACCGGGACAGCCUUCCCACUGACCCUUGGUUACAGUGUAAGGAUCUCUCUGUUCCUUUGCCAACCAAUUCUCUCGAGACUUUAUAUGAUACCAAUUGUUCUCUGGACGGUCUUAAGCCUUCGGACUUAGAAAGAAGUCGAGUCAGUCCUUCGUUAAUGACAUGAGGAUUUGCUAAGAACUGUAAGUGAAACUAUCCUUACACUUUUGUCAACUACUCAAGAAGUGUUUUUGAGGAAUGUUUGACACGUGUUUUUGCUUUUGCAAUUGCAAAAUACGCAAGUUACGUAAUAAUAUAAACUGAAGACUAGGCUCCUUGAACUAAUGAUAAAAUGUUCAAGAAAGAAGAAUCAACUAUAAACAAGCAGAAAUUCAUUUAAUGCAGAAAGAGUUAUUAUAAGUGAAAGUAUUUUAAAAUAAGUUUCUCGUAAAACAAAGGAAUUAUUUUAAUUAAACAUUUAAAAUCACGUCUAUUCUCUAAUAUAAAAACUUGCAUUUUUCUUAAAUUUUUUGUAAACAUAAACAGAUUCUUAGAAUAGUAAGAGGAUUAUUAAAUUAAAAGUUUAAAAUUAAAGAAAAAUUUCUGGCCAAACUAAAUCAAGAAGUUUAAGUGAUAAAUGUCUAAUUAGCAAUGUUUGUUAAUAAUAUUAAGAUUAUGUGAAUGUAUGGUAACUUAAUUUUACUUUUGGAUCAAUACAAACUGAAUGGAAACUUUUGUGGAAGCAAAUAGAGAACACAUUACACUCACGAAAACGAUUAACUUUUUUUAGAUUUCUGUUAAUAAUAAGCAGGUCUAAUGUCACUUAUUUUGUUCGAUCAUAUAGCUCAGUGAGCUCGAAGACAUGGGUUGGUUUAAAGACCUUUUUUAUAUUCCAUGUUUAUUCCAAGAAUGUCUUUAAGGUGGCUCAUUGUCUUCAUUUAUUUCUUCCGUGUGGAAAUUUGUCAUAGAAAACUAAACAUGGUCAAAAGCUAACAAAGCUACAUGUGUACGUCCGCAUGAAAAGGGACCACACUUUGGCACUAUUGGAAUUAAAUACCUGAGCACAUUCUUGACUCAAUUUCGAACCAUUAUUAUAGUUUCCAUGUUAAUUGGAAAUUAAAAAUAAGAUUAUUAGUUGUUUUAAUUGAGAUAAAGUCAGCGAAAAUGCAUAAUUUAACGUGGGACACUUUGAAGUUUGGGUUUCAACAAUAAAGAAAAAUAAAAAUUCUGAACCACUUUUAGAAAAUUGCGAUUGUCUCCUAAAAUAAAAUGGACAAAGUGGUCGAUGCGGACGUAUACAUACACACAUAUUGGUACCAAGAAACUUUAAUCAUUCUAUUAUUAUUAAUUCUAGAUAACAUUUUCUUGGUAUGAAAAGAAAUGUCAAUUGACAUGGAUGUAUAAAAAGUCCAUACGGGAACCCUAUAUUUCUAAAUAAUAAUUUUUCUUUCAUCCCGGGUCUAAAUUUGGGUAAUAUUUUGGUUCUACUCAGGGCCGGAUUUGCUGUAGGGCAAAAAGGGCAAGUGCCCUGGGGCCCCCGGUCGUCAGGGGCCCCCAAUUUUUAAGAGGUCUUCUUGUCACAAGAAGUGUAUAUGUGUAAAUGCUCUAUCAGGGUGUCUAACGGUCAGAGAAAAGUCAUGGAAAAGUCAGGGAAUGUCAGAGAAUUUCAUUGAAAGUCAGGGAAAUUUCUAAAAAAAUUUUGUGAAUAAAAAAUUUUUUUAACCUAACAAAACUUAGAAGAUUUUUAUCACCGUUUUU